CAUUCGCUUCUCUAGGAAAGCAAGAGAGAAGGAAAAGAGAUGAAACCUAUUGUGAUUUUUCUCUUUCUAUUGAGCGUUGCACCAGGUGCUAUUUCCAGUUUGCAGCUGGUCCAGUCUGGGCCAGCAACAGCGAAGCCAGGAGGGUCCUUCAAAGUGACCUGCACCAUGUCUGGAGUCCAAGUCAGUGACCAUUACUGGACCUGGUGCCGACAACGCCCGGGAAAAAGCCCAGAGUGGCUCGGCUUCAUUAGAAGCACCGCAGCUGGAGGAACCAGCCUCUACAAUCCAGUAUUCAGCAGCCGAGUCAGCCUGACUAGGGAUACCUCCAAGAACCAGAUCUAUCUUCAGAUGAGCUCCCUGACAGCUGCAGAUUCUGCGAUAUAUUAUUGUGCGAGGGACACUGUGAGGUGCGUUCAGGCAAAAACCAUACUCUGA